rnacentral:rRNA from 1 species
CACGUAGGGCGCAAGCGUUGUCCGGAAUUAUUGGGCGUAAAGAGCUCGUAGGCGGUCUGUUACGUCUGCUGUGAAAUCCCGAGGCUCAACCUCGGGUCUGCAGUCGAUACGAGCAAACUAGAGUGUUGCAGGGGAGACUGGAAUUCCUGGUGUAGCGGUGAAAUGCGCAGAUAUCAGGAGGAACACCGGUGGCGAAGGCGGGUCUCUGGGCAAUAACUGACGCUGAGGAGCGAAAGCGUGGGGAGCGAACAGG